rnacentral:rRNA from 1 species
AGGUAGCGCCUCGUGAAUUCAUCUCCGGGGGUAGAGCACUGUUUCGGCAAGGGGGUCAUCCCGACUUACCAACCCGAUGCAAACUGCGAAUACCGGAGAAUGUUAUCACGGGAGACACACGGCGGGUGCUAACGUCCGUCGUGAAGAGGGAAACAACCCAGACCGCCAGCUAAGGUCCCAAAGUCAUGGUUAAGUGGGAAACGAUGUGGGAAGGCCCAGACAGCCAGGAUGUUGGCUUAGAAGCAGCCAUCAUUUAAAGAAAGCGUAAUAGCUCACUGGUCGAGUCGGCCUGCGCGGAAGAUGUAACGGGGCUAAACCAUG